UACGAAGGGGGCGAGCGUUGUUCGGAUUUACUGGGCGUAAAGGGCGCGCAGGCGGCUCAUUUUGUCAGGCGUGAAAGCCCCGGGCUUAACCUGGGAACUGCGUUUGAUACGGAUGGGCUAGAGUUCGGGAGAGGAGAGUGGAAUUCCCAGUGUAGAGGAGAAAUUCGUAGAUAUUGGGAAGAACACCGGUGGCGAAGGCGGCUCUCUGGACCGAGACUGACGCUGAGGCGCGAAAGCGUGGGGAGCAAACAGG
rnacentral:rRNA from 1 species